GUUCAUUCAUGCAUACCUUUUCCUUCUACAUCCAACUUCCUCCUUUCUCCAGAUCUCUUCUAUGUAGUUUAUCUUCUUCAAUUUUCAUAUUCAGAUCUGUGUAGAUCGUUCAUCGAUCUACGUUUUGAAUAUGGAUUUGCCAUGUAUCUGCAACGGAUCGGUGAUUUACCAAUCGAACAUGCUAACGGUUCGAUAUCCGUCGACUGUGGCCGCCGGUUGACGAAGAGAUGGUAGAUCUGAUGCUUUCGUGCUGGUUAGAUGGAGAUGAACCUCAGAUCUGUGGAGGUUGGAGCAAUGGUUUCAUAAUACAAGGCGUUGACCUCGUGAGGAUUCCAUCGUUGUGUGCAGGAGCUUUAUCGGUGAGAUCUGAAUAGAGAUUGAAGGACUAUUCAAUCGGUGUGUCGGAUCAAUCGUUUAGACUGGUUAUCAUCGAUCGAGGUUGAAAUCAUCUUGCGUGAUGGUGUAUCUAAGGUUAUAAUAGUUUAAUUUGAUGUCUAUAAUUAUUUGAAUGUUUCAUUUGCGUUAGUUUUUAUUUAUGCAUGCAUAUGUACGAGAGGAUGAAAUAUUGAGAGACGUUGUGUGAGGCAUGAGAGGAAAAAAGAGAGGUAUUUAUUGUUCAUGUUACCCGGCCUUUGCCAUGUUGGGUGCGCUCGCAUGGCAGGUCAAAAGUACCUAAUAAAAGUAUUUUUUUGGUGUUUGAGAGGAGAGGUACGGGGUUUUGCCCGGAUCUCCUCUCUUGUGUGUCGUCCUUUUUAUUUUCAUGCUCUUUCCUUGCUCCCGCGUCCAACAAUCUUGCAUCGAUCCGGUGGUUACUGUUUUAUCCAAAGACAAGUAACUCAUGUUGAUUUGCUUAGCACGGCCAUGGACAAGCAACGUUUCUACUGCAGCACUCUAUUAGAGGUAUCAAUUCUUUUCGCAAAGUUUAUUUGCAAAUUCAUCAUAGAAGAGUUAGUUGCGUUAAUUAUCAUUCACCUAAGACACUAAUUAAUACACAAUAUAUUUCUGGAAUUAUUUUUACAAACCGAAAGGCUCUAAAAGAUCACUUUUUAUUUUAUCACCACAUACCUUUUUUUAUGAAAGUAACUAAAAAUUAUUUGAAGUCUAACUUGGCAAGUGUCGAUCUCAGUUGGCCUGCCUGAAAUGAAAAAAGCAUCAUGAGUUGUUUUUUUAAAAUUUACGCUGAUUAAUAGUUGAUAGGACCUCUAAUCCAUGAUUUUCAAUAUAAUGUUUUUACUAUGUCGUUUAUGGAACUUUUGAAAAUUAAUUGAUUAGCAAACAAUGUCAAUUUCAAGUAUAAAUUGGAUUAUUCAACUUGUUGGAUGAAUAUGAGGAACAAUUGAUCAAGCGGUCUUAUAUCAAGAAGUAUGGGGAAUAACAACAAUUAAACAGGCUUUACAAAAGCUGUAAUUGUUGGGCAUUGCAGAAGCUGCAAACUAUGAAUCUUCUUUUUCUUGUCCUUUGUGCAAUGCACUCACUUGAUUCUAGUAUUUUCCUUCGUUUUUAUUAUCUAGCAAUUUGCCCUUCAUUGUUGAUGAUUUAAUUGUUUUUAAGUGGGUUUUUUCAUGAAUAUUAGCGGCACGUCUAUGUUCUACCAGUUAGUGAUGUAGUUGUUCCAAUCCGUUGUAUAUUCUUUUUAUUGCCCCUUAUUGUAGCCCUUUGGGAGGUUACCUUUUUAGGCAGGUUUGUGAUUUUGACUGUAAAAACUACUCGAUGUACUGGUUAGAUCUUGCGUUUAUUCUUAUUGGUGGAUGCCUUCGCUGUAUGAGAACUUGGAGUAGCAUUGAUGCUGGCUGAAGUCCUCAUUUGUCCUUGUAAAAGUGCUGUAUGUUCAGCCCUGUUGUACGCGAAGCUUUAUUUUAACAAAGGUUGUCCAGAAAUAUUUUGAGCUGCUGCUGCUGUUGAAGUUGAAGAUUUUGUACCUCAUGGUUGUGCGUUUUAUCUGUGCGUGGAAAUCUCAACAUACUCUGGCUGUGGUUUCACUGCUUUUGAGUUUAUGUUCCUACUUUUGGGAUACUCCAGUUUGUCCGUUGUUUGAAGCUUGUGUUUCAGCAAGAUACAAAAUGGGUGUUUAAUCAUAAGACGCAACAUAGGUGCUGUUGUGUUUUUGACGAUAUGUUGACAUAUUCUUUGCCUUAUUCUCUAGAGGAAUUUCCAGAGCACUACUGUCCUCAUUCCUGUAUUGUGCUGUUAUCUAUUUUCCUAUAUAUUUUGCUUUUCAAAAACCUUGUGGCAGAUGGUUGAUGUCUACUCAGGCUGUGUUUUGCCUUCUGCUAAUCUUGAGUGCAUGAAUUAAUCCGCUGGGAAUGGAGUAUGUAAAACAUUUUUCUAAUGUUAUGGUCAAUUAACAGUUUACAACUGGAUGGUGCGUUUAAUCUUCUACUGUUAAGAUUUGUCGUUCGGCAGAGCUAAUGGUCAGAUGUUCGUUUUUUACUACAGAUAUCAAUUAUUGUUGAACCUUUGAUUCAAUAAUUUUGCCUCCGCUUUGUACUUUUUCAGUUCCAAGAAAGUACUGUCAUGUUACAAUAUUUUUUGCUACGAGGGAUUAUUUUCGUCGAGAGUAGCUUGAGGUUUGGUUCUCAGUCGGCUUGGUCAUAUAUAUAUUAAUAUAUCUAUUAAAUGUUGUUAUUUAUAUAGUUAUUUUAGAUUGUUGUAUCGGGUAUUUUUGGCCUGUAGUAAUUAUUAUCUAAAUUGAUUAAUCCUCUCAACAGUGAUUAUUAAUGAAUUUAAACUAAAGAUGGUGCUUUGAUUUUACCACUAGACCAAUGACCAAUAAUUUGCGUUAGUUUCUAAUUCACAUGUGAUAAUUAAGUGUAAGGCCCUUGUCGCAUGAUUUUUUAAAAUUAUUUAUAGAGUAAGUAUUUUCUUGUUCGGAUGAAUCCAAGAGCUCGGUAUACGGUGGAGCGCUCGAUGCUUGUUGUCGAGAGGUCGGUGGUUCGAAUCCACCUGGAUUCCUUAUUUAGGUGGGCUAUUGUAAUUUGUCUUAUCUUUUUAUCGGUGCAAUUAGCACGAAAGUUAAUUAGUUAGUCUAAUCAUGUAAAUUUAGUAGUAAUUUGAGGGAGAUGUUUUUGUGAUAUUAAAUUAAAUUCUUUAUGUGAUGGAAUUGUAAUUUUGCGGUCAUCUGAUAAUCUACUGUACCAUAUUAUCUUCACCAUGACUAAUAAUUCCGGUGGUUGGUACUGACAUUUUUAUCUUUGAUCUUUCUUACAGUUGGUAUCUACUCGUAGGUAACACCAAUUUUGUUUAAUCGUGCAAGCUCGUCGAUUGGCCGGACAAACGGUGUAGCUGUUUGUUCUCCGUCAAUGGUGGCUGCCGGUAGACACAGAUGUAUAUCUGAAUCUUUUGUCAGAGAUUCGUCAAUGUGGACUAAUUACUUGAUAUCGUUAGAUCCGAAUUGAGCUGAUCUUCGGAUGCUGUUGCAAUUCCAGCUGCGAAGGGAGUGAAACAGCGAGCCUGAUGGUGCAUCUAAGGUUAUAAUUGUUAAAUUUAAUGUCUAUUUAUUUGAAUGGUUCAUGUACAUUAGUAGUUUUUAUUUAUGCAUGCAUAUGUAUGAGAGGAUGAAAGGUUGAGUGACGUUGUGUGAGAUAUUUACUGUUUACGUUGCCCGGCCUUUGCCAUGUUGGGUGAGCUCGCGUGGCAGGUCACAAGUACCUAAUAAAAGUAUUGAUUUUGGUGUCUCAGGGGAGAUGGCACGGGGUUUUGCCCGGCUUUCCUCUCUUUGUGCGUUUGUGUCCUCUUUAUUUUUGCUGCACUUUCCGUGUUCCAACUUUGCAACGAUUCCGUGGUUACUUGUUCUCGAAUUGGUCUUAUUUAUUUCUGAACUGUGUCAUCCUGAAAGACAAAUUCAAGGACAAGUAAAUCGUGUUAAUUUGCUAAUUAUGGGGAUGGACAAUCAACGUUCUACUGCAGCACUCCAUUAGAGGUACGAUCAUCAAUUCUCUUUGGUAUAGUUAACUAGUUGCAUCAUUAUUUUCAUACCAGCUAGCUAUUUGGACUACAUGGCUUACUUAAAUUCACUCCACGAGUGCUUAUCAAUCUUAAGAUACUUAAAAGUUCACUCCACAGUUGUUUAUCAAUCUUAAAAUUUUCUAAGUGGGCAGUUCUCGUGUACUUUAAAAAGUAUGAAUAGCUUGACUUAAUGAAUAACUUGCACUUAACCUCCAUCACUUUCACCACUAGAUGUAAGUUGCUUCAAUCAGAGGCUGGCCAGGAUUUUGUUUAUGGGUUCUGGAUUACAGUUUUCUUCUGACUGGGUUCUGAUUAGAAUACUUGAUCGUUGAGUUUUUAUGUAAGGUGUCCAUAAACUGGUACAAGGACCUCAAAGUUUCUUGAAAUAGAAAAACUAGUAAUGAAAUAUGCAUUGCAAAAACUAGUAAUGAAACAUGCACUGGGCUCUCAUAUACUGGCAAUUAGACCAACUAUUAAUUGCAUUUAUUCAUUUCGCAGCAAAUCACUUUGCAUUAAUAACCAGUCUCAAAUUACUAAGCUCAACACAUCCAGAUAAUUAGCUUUUAAUUGGUUGAUUUAGCUAUGAGAGAUGAGCAUGAUAGAAAUCUAAUUAGCUGGUCUCUAAUGAAGAGCCGAGGUAGGAAACAAUGGUCAUUCAUUACAACCGCUUGUGGUAAAUUUUGAUUUUUGCAUUAAUUGAACUUUGACUUUACUUGGCAAAUAUUAGUUAUUUUCUGUUUCAAGACUUGCUCUUGCUUAGCUAGUAAUGUACUUCUGUACAAGUUCUGUGGGAGCUCGUCUGCCUGUGUUGUAAUUGUAUCAAACUUCAAACGAUAUUAUUGUUAUGGUGCUUUUGUUGUCGUCCUUGUGAGGGUAUUCUUUGUAAGGUAGGUUAGGAAAUUUGGCCUUAAAAACAGCUCAGUGUCUCUAGAUCAAAUUGAAGCUUAUCAAAUUAUGGUUAAUGGCCUGGUCAUGUGGCCUGAGAUUUCCAGUAAAUUUUUGAUUUAUCUGCUCCUGGUGAACUGCCGCUCUUCCUACUUGCUGAACAUAAAGCACUUUUUUCUCUGAAUGUAUCAAGAAAUGCCUACUGUGUCAAGAAAUGUUCGAGCUGUUCCUGCUGCUGUAUUUGCAGUUGAAGAUUUGAUCUCUCAUGCUGUAUAGCACAUGCAAGAAAUCUUAUAUGCUGCUGCUCUUGUUUGUUUGAAGCAGUUGGUUCUGUUGUAUCUGGUGCUGUCUAAGACCAGAAAUUUUAGCAGUGGUUGGUUUUACAUUCUGCUGCAUCCUGGAUAUGCCAUGUCGGUCUGUGGUCCCAUGGAAUCCUCAGAAGUGUGUUGUUGAUUGAGCUCCAUAGUCAUCCAGAGCGUCAAUCUAUUACAAGCCUUUUGCUAAUUUCUGAGUGGAACAGUCGAGCAGGGAUGUGAGUCUCUCCUAGAUGAGUGGUUCGACCAUGUGUCACGGUUGACUGUAGCUCUCUUGAAAGAUUGUUCAUCUACUUUUUCAUACUGAGAUGGUGUUGAGCAGA